UACGUAGGGGGCAAGCGUUGUCCGGAUUUAUUGGGCGUAAAGGGCGCGUAGGCGGCCAUGCGUGUCUUCCGUGAAAUCCCUCGGCUCAACCGAGGACGUGCGGAAGAAACUGCAAGGCUCGAGUCCGGAAGAGGGGGGCGGAAUUCCCAGUGUAGCGGUGAAAUGCGUAGAUAUUGGGAGGAACACCAGUGGCGAAGGCGGUCCCCUGGGCCGGAACUGACGCUGAGGCGCGAAAGCGUGGGUAGCAAACGGG
rnacentral:rRNA from 1 species